GCCAGCGGCGAUAGCACGUUGAAUACACCAAUUCCCCACGGAUCACUGAAGUUAAGCAACGUUGCGCGUGGUUGGUAUUCCGAUGGUGAAUAUCUGGGAUUCUGACC
rfam:Asian citrus Psyllid, Diaphorina citri - Florida Strain, whole genome shotgun sequence.